rnacentral:rRNA from 1 species
UACAGAGGGUGCAAGCGUUAAUCGGAAUUACUGGGCGUAAAGCGAGCGUAGUCGGUUAUUUAAGUCGGGUGUGAAAGCCCCGGGCUCAACCUGGGAAUUGCAUUCGAUACUGGAUAGCUAGAGUUCGGCAGAGGGAAGCGGAAUUUCCGGUGUAGCGGUGAAAUGCGUAGAUAUCGGGAGGAACACCGGUGGCGAAGGCGGCUAUCUGGACAGAAACUGACGCUGAGGCGCGAAAGCUAGGGGAGCAAACAGG